UGAAAGAUGCCUGAUAAAAGGAUUAUUUUGAUGUAAUAAAAUAUGUAAGUAAUUACUCUUUCAA
rnacentral:tRNA from 1 species